rnacentral:rRNA from 1 species
UCGGGAAUUUUGGGCAAUGGGCGAAAGCCUGACCCAGCAACGCCGCGUGAAGGAUGAAGUAUUUCGGUAUGUAAACUUCGAAAGAAUAGGAAGAAUAAAUGACGGUACUAUUUAUAAGGUCCGGCUAACUACGUGCCAGCAGCCGCGGUAAUACGUAGGGACCAAGCGUUGUUCGGAUUUACUGGGCGUAAAGGGCGCGUAGGCGGCAAUUCAAGUCAUCUGUGAAAUCUCCGGGCUUAACUCGGAACGGUCAGAUGAUACUGCUUUGCUAGAGUGUGGAAGGGGCGAUUGGAAUUCCGUGUGUAGCGGUGAAAUGCGUAGAUAUACGGAGGAACACCAGAGGCGAAGGCGGAUCGCUGGGCCAACACUGACGCUGAGACGCGAAAGCUAGGGUAGCAAACGGGAUUAGAUACCCCCGUAGUCCCUGAGCGGGCUGGCAAGGCGCAU